CCUGUGAGGGUUGCUGGAGGUAUCAGAAGUGCGAAUGCUGACAUAAGUAACGAUAAAGCGGGUGAAAAGCCCGCUCGCCGGAAGACCAAGGGUUCCUGUCCAACGUUAAUCGGGGCAGGGUGAGUCGACCCCUAAGGCGAGGCCGAAAGGCGUAGUCGAUGGGAAACAGGUUAAUAUUCCUGUACUUGGUGUUACUGCGAAGGGGGGACGGAGAAGGCUAUGUUGGCCGGGCGACGGUUGUCCCGGUUUAAGCGUGUAGGCUGGUUUUCCAGGCAAAUCCGGAAAAUCAAGGCUGAGGCGUGAUGACGAGGCACUACGGUGCUGAAGCGACAAAUGCCCUGCUUCCAGGAAAAGCCUCUAAGCAUCAGGUAACAUCAAAUCGUACCCCAAACCGACACAGGUGGUCAGGUAGAGAAUACCAAGGCGCUUGAGAGAACUCGGGUGAAGGAACUAGGCAAAAUGGUGCCGUAACUUCGGGAGAAGGCACGCUGAUAUGUAGGUGAAGCGACUUGCUCGUGGAGCUGAAAUCAGUCGAAGAUACCAGCUGGCUGCAACUGUUUAUUAAAAACACAGCACUGUGCAAACACGAAAGUGGACGUAUACGGUGUGACGCCUGCCCGGUGCCGGAAGGUUAAUUGAUGGGGUUAGCGGUAACGCGAAGCUCUUGAUCGAAGCCCCGGUAAACGGCGGCCGUAACUA
rnacentral:rRNA from 1 species